CAGUUGGUUCUGUUGUUCUAACGUGAACAUUUUCUCUGGUUUUUCGCUGCCUAUUUUCAUUAUAAGAUGCCAACUUUUUCACAACUGAUAACGCUGAAUGCAGCAGUUGAGAGAUUGCGAAAGAUUGAAUUCAUUUCUAAACAACUGAAAACCUCUGAGGUACUAACGUUCAUUAUCAGCUAGAGUCCUUCCAAGAAUCCGAGAUGAAAAAAUUCGUCGAAAUAUGAAGAAUUUGCAGAUGUUUUGGUGACACUUUGCGGCUUGCGUUCCCGAUGCCAUUGAUUAUUCUACGCCGUUCUCCAAAUACGCUAGCAGCCUAUUGGCGGAGAUAUCUUCCAGAUGGUUCGACACAUCCGCGUUUAGACAUGCAAAUACUUGGCUGCUAUUCAAAUAAUACGAUUACAAUCGUCCCCUCGCCGCAAAAUCUGUCAGUUUUAUUCAUCACAUUUUGUUCUUCUGCUGCGAACGUAACGCGGUCGCUUAUUAGAACAAAAUGCAUACAAGUGAACCUGUUUUAAGAAGUUGGAGUGCGCCCAUAAAAGCCGCAAAAAAGAGCUGCAAAACUUCGUGACUCGAUAAAGGACGACAAUCGCCACCUCAGAAUAUCGAUGAUCAUUCACGAUCUUGAUGAUUUACCCAACAAGCGGAUGAUAUUACAUGUCUGUGGAUCCUUUGAAAGAAAUGACUCCCUUUAAGGAUAUUGACAGUUUGAUAUAAUUUCAACAUUCUAUUGUGGAAUUAUGUAUUUUUUCAGACGGAGAAAAAUGAUGCAUUGUUAUCAGUAUUCAAUUAAGUGCAAGGUUUUUUAAAUAUUUCAUAAAGUUUUAAGAAAUUUGAAAGUAGCGACGCCAGCGUCUUAUUAAAUUAGCUCAAAUUUUGUAACUGGUCCAAAAGGGGAAUUUGAUAUUUGUUCAAUCGCCAGCAACAGCAGUCUCAGCUCAAUUUAUGACUGUGAGAAAGGAAUAUCGAAAAUUUGUAUAUUAUAACUUCUUGCUAAUCAAGAAAAAAUUAAUCGCAGCCAUGUUUUUUUUUACUUACAACAGUAAUAGUCUCGGAGGAAAUAUCCCUGUAAAUUAAAGCAUAAGCCUCAACUACUGUGGCUCUGUGAGUUAUAAAGAUUCGUUAAUUAAGUAAUAUUCGCUUUAAAAAAAUCAUAGUAGAUUCUAACUAACUUCAUCGUGACUUUUCCGGUAAAACUUGCUGGCGGAGUCCAUUUAAAUGACUGCUCAGUUUUAGUAGUAGCGUCCUUAUGAGUUACAGCGUUCUAAAAAGAUGUUCAAGAAGAAAUUCGUUAAUGUUCUACAAAUUCUCGAUAGAUUUUCAUUUCAAUAACAAACCGCAGUUCCCUUCGGGCAGUCCAGUGUUUUCCCCGUAUUGGUUCCUUGUGCAACAUCGAAUGUGCCAAGAGCAGUCUUACUAUUUCCGGAUCGAGCUUGAACCAGGAAACCUUUGAAAGUGGCCGCAGUCGUGGAUUUCAAAGUCACUGUAGAAACAAAAUGGCCAAAAACAUUUACAAUUCAAAUUCUUCGUCCGUCAUGUCUAAGGUAUUAUAUAAUAUAAAAUAUAUAUAUAUUUUUUUUCUUAAUUUUGGUCUAAUUGCCUGUUAUGGGAGAGCCAACACUGGCUGUCGCGCUGCUGACUGUUAAAGUAAACGGGGAGUUUGGCUGAGCGAAGAAAAAAGGCACGUGAAGCGGCUUCAUGGAUCCGCAGGAAGCUGCAGGGGCUCCAUUGGGAAGAGCCGUUACUUGAGUUGCAACAAGGGCGCUCAGAAAUACGAGGUAAGAGUUUAACAUUCUAUAAUAUGAAUAGGAUAAAUUAGAUUAACUACAUUAUUCCUUCUAGGUAGAUUUUAAAACAUUUCAAUUCAAAUACCUGUUGGUUGUUAGUAGUGACCGCAGUGACUGGCGAAUUGGAACUGAGAGCAAAGCUGGAGCUAGGCGUUGUUUUAUUAGCUCACCAUAAGAUUAUGUAACUUAUUAAUGUCAGGAAACGGUGUGUAAAGGGAUGGUCAAAGUGAGAGGCAGGCGCCAAUGGGGGCAUGCUAAAUAUUGAGUACGGAAUUUAGUCAAG